rnacentral:rRNA from 1 species
UACGUAGGGAGCAAGCGUUGUCCGGAAUCAUUGGGCGUAAAGCGCGCGUAGGCGGCCUCAUAAGUCCGUUGUGAAAGUCAAAGGCUACAACCUUUGAAAGCCGAUGGAUACUGUGAGGCUAGAGUCCGGAAGAGGCGAGUGGAAUUCCUGGUGUAGCGGUGGAAUGCGCAGAUAUCAGGAGGAACACCAAUAGCGAAGGCAGCUCGCUGGGACGGUACUGACGCUAAGGCGCGAAAGCGUGGGAGCGAACGAGGA